CCCAGCCAUUAGGGGUUGCCACUUCUCCUCUUCAUGGGGGAAGUCAGGUUUGCGUAGGGGGCUCAUAGAGUGCCUCAGGGGCUCCUUGAGCUUGCAUCAUGGGAGACCCCCGCAUUUCUGGCCUGACCUCGAGUCUAUCACAAGUUAUGGAAGCUCACUUUGUCCCCGUGCAUCAAUCCUGGUGUUCAGUUUAAGCGCAUCUUGCAGGAAAGGCAACUAAUUUCAAAAUGAAGAUACCUGGAUUUCCAUCAGAUGGGAUGAAUCACUCCCCAGCUGUGCCAGUUUUCUCACCAUUGCCUGCAAUAGGAUCCUGGAUGACAAGCAUGUUCUUCAGUGGGAAAAGCAGACCUGAUGCAUUUGUUGUGAAUGACUUUGCCUUACCAAUCCAGACCAGGAGAGCUUCACUUGACCCUGCAUACCAUAGGGAUGCUGCCUGUCCUUGUAGGUUGGCUUUGUAGUGGUGGUCAAGAGCCAUUCUGGAGGCUCUGGAAACAUUGCUUUCUGAUGUGCAGAUGCUAGGAAUAUGGUCUAAAGGUGUUUUGA